CAUGUUAAAUGGAGACAGGAGCAGCUAAAUCAUCUUAAAGGUAAGUCAUUCAGGGUUUUUUCCUGCAUAUGUAACGGAGUUAAAAUAUAAUAUGAUCCCACUUGCCAUUAUCACCCAUCACGUAUCACUGUAGCUUAAUUUUACUAUGGUCACUAAACACAACAUACCUGUGGACUUGGGUCGUGCACCCUGGGGGUAGCCUACAGCAGUCAGACCUUGCUGUCCCCUUGCCCCAAUAAAACAACUCUAAAUUUGACACAGUGCCCUCUCAAGCAACCACUACAGCAAGCUGUGUCACAAGCAAAGCUGGCAAUUCAGCCUCCACCGGAAAAGUUCUCCUGCUACAGCAUUUGAUUUGAAUGGCUAAUGUAAGAAUAUCAGUAGAGAGGAAGCUCAAAAGGACCAGGCUGAGCAAGUCCUGAGGAUCUGUGUCUUCCACACAAGUGAAGAAGAUGAAGUUCCAUCCGAAACUGAUGUGUCGAUUGUUAUUGAAUGGCUUGAGGUACUUGACAACUGUGGAAGUGUUGCAAAAGACUCUCCUGCUCGUAGGCAUCAUUUAUGCCAUGAACUUGAAAAACAAAGUACACUUUUGAAAAUUUUAAAAGCUAAACAAAGCUUAUAACUUGAAUGCACGUGUUUGACCCAUGAGUUGUCAUUUCCAAGAGGGCGCUAAAAGAAAAAUAUGGCACAGUUGUUUAUGUGGCUAUUUGUCUAUUUUCUUAUUUUUCUCUUGUUUUAAUGAUGUAGUUUUUAUUUUAACUUGUUGCACUGUAUUAAACAUGUGGCCAUAUAGAGUGGCUAAGUUGUGGGGACAAAAGAAAAGAAGUUAGAUCAGCAUUUUCAAGUCAAACCAGAGGUUCUCAACUGGUGGGUCGUGGGGCCAUUUUCAAUGGGUCACAGAUGUGAGUGUGGGCAUGAAAAUUGCAAGGGGCGAAAUAUCCCACUUUUUAUUGUUAAGAUGCUCUGCUUUUUGUAGGAUAUUACUCAUGAUACAUGUUUAGAACCUCAGGGCAAAACACUGUUCUUUAAGAUGCAAUGUUUAAAGAUGAAACCAAUAAUAAGCAUGUCUUUUAAGAUGCACUGAAGGUUCCUGAAGCAUGUUAAUUUUUUUUUUAGAGUUUAAGGUUAAAAAGCCUAUCCAAAAGAUAGGUUACGUACUGUAUGCUCUAUGCCAACAGUUCCUGAACUUUUCCUUGUGCCUUUAACAAGCUAACUCAAACCUAUUUUAGCCACCCUAAGAUGACAUUUCUGUCAUCUACUCACCCUGAUGCCAAUGUUGGACCUGGCAAGCCAGAUCGCUGGUGAGGAGGUGCCCCUUAGCCCUAAAUUAUGCAUACUAAAUCUCUACCCAGACAGCUUUACAACCUCUAACAAAGUUAGGUCUCCACUGAAUAUUUGUUUUUUUAGAAGCCAAACGAUGCUUUGCUUGCUCUUGGAAAUCAGACACGCCUUGUGGCACAUUGCAAUGGUUGAGGGGAAUUACUUUUUACUUAGCUCUAGAAAAGAUAAGUUAUACAACAAAAAAAUCUGGAGCGUUUUCUUCAAUUUUCUUGAGAAUAACAUUAUGGAUGUGGAUGGUUGGAGUGAACUUGCUGGAACAAGCCUUUUUUUUUUUUUUU